GCUCAGUAACACGUAGUCAACAUGCCCAAAGGACGUGGAUAACCUCGGGAAACUGAGGAUAAACCGCGAUAGGCCAAGGUUUCUGGAAUGAGCCAUGGCCGAAAUCUAUAUGGCCUUUGGAUUGGACUGCGGCCGAUCAGGCUGUUGGUGAGGUAAUGGCCCACCAAACCUGUAACCGGUACGGGCUUUGAGAGAAGGAGCCCGGAGAUGGGCACUGAGACAAGGGCCCAGGCCCUAUGGGGCGCAGCAGGCGCGAAACCUCUGCAAUAGGCGAAAGCCUGACAGGGUUACUCUGAGUGAUGCCCGCUAAGGGUAUCUUUUGGCACCUCUAAAAAUGGUGCAGAAUAAGGGGUGGGCAAGUCUGGUGUCAGCCGCCGCGGUAAUACCAGCACCCCGAGUUGUCGGGACGAUUAUUGGGCCUAAAGCAUCCGUAGCCUGUUCUGCAAGUCCUCCGUUAAAUCCACCUGCUCAACGGAUGGGCUGCGGAGGAAACCGCAGAGCUAGGAGGCGGGAGAGGCAAACGGUACUCAGUGGGUAGGGGUAAAAUCCAUUGAUCUACUGAAGACCACCAGUGGCGAAGGCGGUUUGCCAGAACGCGCUCGACGGUGAGGGAUGAAAGCUGGGGGAGCAAACCGGAUUAGAUACCCGGGUAGUCCCAGCUGUAAAUGAUGCAGACUCGGUGAUGGGUUGGCUUCGAGCCAACCCGGUGCCGCAGGGAAGCCGUUAAGUCUGCCGCCUGGGGAGUACGGUCGCAAGACUGAAACUUAAAGGAAUUGGCGGGGGAGCAC
rnacentral:rRNA from 1 species